ACUAAAAUAUUUAGCUGAAAAUUUCAUAAGGUUUCAUUCCACUUUUUCUCUGUCUGCCGUUUCACUCUUCCUCACUCUCCAAUCUCCAUAUCCAUCGUUCUUCAUGGAACUCUCAAUCAUCACUCUCCAUCGUUCCUCACUCUCCAUCAUUAACUCAUCAAUUGAACCCUAAAACCUUCUCUCCAUCAUUCCCCAAAACUUGUUAAACCCUAAAUCCCAAAUUGAACCCAAAAAUUGAAGGAUUGAAGGCUAGAAGGAGUUUUCUCU
rnacentral:lncRNA from 1 species